GCGAUAGCAACUGAACCACUUCCCUGGGCAGCCUAUUCCUAGACAUUUUAAUUCAAAAGAUCAGAGAAAAUAAGGCUGGAGGAGUUGAGAGAUGCUAUAAGUCAUCCUUUCCAUCUCCAAGGUAGAUCAGCUAAAUCCUGGGCCAUUCCUCACGGUUGUCUCAAUGUUCCUGAAAACAAGGUUAGCAACAACGUACACUCCACAACCUCUAAGGCCAGGCCUUAUUUUGGUGCUUUACUACCUCAACAGUCUCUAGAUGAUGAUAUAAUAAUAAUAAAAUAAAAAUAAACAGUAGGGCUAGUGGCAUAGUGUUUUGUGUGGUUAUUUAUUUCCAUGGGCACGCCAAAUUGUUCCUUCUUUCAUCAGCAGUCAUGUGUCCUUUCGUGUGGUGUAGAGGAGCAGUCUAACAGAUAGGGGAGCUAAACUGCUUAUGGGUGCGCCAUAGUAAAAGUGACUGGAGCCAUUGAAAGUGGUAGUGUUGAGGUGUUGUCUCCUGCCACAUACUCAUUGCUCCUGCUCCACUACAGGGAUGGUGAAAGGGAAGAUGAGUCCCAUCUUGCAGGUUUCAUGUUGCAGCCUGGUGAAUUGGCUUAGUAUGGUACAUUUCUGUCCUGGUUUUGGCUGAGAUAGACCUCUGUGUGUCUGGCCUGUGAUGGUUGCUGAGUUCAUCUUUACUCAGUACCACAAUGUAAAGUGUUCAGCAUAUUUGCCAAGUUGAUUCCUGGGUUUGAGAUUAGCCCUUUACUGUGCUUUGCCAACAUGUUUUAUUAUUAUUAUUAUUAUUAUUUAUUUAUUUAUUUAUUUAUUUAUUAAUGCUUAAUUAGCACUCGUGUUAAACUAAACCAUAUAGAUGUUUCCAUCUUGCCAUGUUACUUCCUUCAAAGUGGUAGAAGAAUUAAAAAUGAUGGGCUGAGAGUCUUUUCUUCCUGUAUUUUGUCUUGUAUAGUUUUCUCUAAACCACUACCAGCUUCUCCGGGUAUUUAGAAGAUGAUAAUGCUUGGUGUAACAACAGUGAAUUAAGCUGCAGAAAAACACUUAACACCGAUUUUGAAAUUGUGAGGGUGUACAAAUGGAGCUAGGCAGCUCUGUUUAUAUGACUUAUAUGACCUGAUAUUAAAAUUUCAUGUAGUUACUUGGUUAAUUGAAUUUAAAUAAGUGUGUGGUUUAUUAAGCUGUUUAUUAAACUGGGGCACUCUUUGAAAUCAAGGAAUCCUAAGGUCAAAAUAUUUUCAGACAUCUACAUUUAGAUACGAUUCCUUAAAAUGAGCUACUCAGUGCUUUGAAUAUGUUAGUGAAGAAAAAGUUGUUGGUUGGCUUGAUAGACCAUUAAGGAACUGAGAUUUCCCGUCUAAGCAAAAGUGCCCCAUUCUCCAUGGACAU
rnacentral:lncRNA from 1 species